rnacentral:rRNA from 1 species
UACGGGGGGGGGCAAGCGUUUGUUCGGAAUUACUGGGCGUAAAGGGCGCGUAGGCGGCCAUCUAAGUCAGACGUGAAAUCCCUCGGCUCAACCGAGGAACUGCGUCUGAUACUGGAAGGCUUGAAUCCGGGAGAGGGAUGUGGAAUUCCAGGUGUAGCGGUGAAAUGCGUAGAUAUCUGGAGGAACACCGGUGGCGAAGGCGGCAUCCUGGACCGGUAUUGACGCUGAGG